GGGCCAUUAGCUCAAUUGGCAGAGCAACUGACUCUUAAUCAGGAGGUUAUAGGUUCGAUUCCUAUAUGGCCCACCA
rnacentral:tRNA from 1 species